CUUUUAUUCAUUUUUUAAAAUUUUAAAUUAACAGUUUAUGACUAUUUUUAGUAGCUGACGAUUUAAAUGCAACAGAAGGAAGGAUUAUUUAAUACAGUUUGUUCUCCCAAUUUUUCCUGGAGUUUAGAAAGCAAAUUAAAAAAACACAUGUUUAUAAUGUUUUUAAUUAAAUGUCAUCAAUAAAUUAAAAAUAAAAAUGUUAAAUAUGUAAAUUACAUGCAAACAUUGUGUUUUUUAAUGAUGAGGUCACUCACUUUUCUGUAAAAUUCCUGUUUUUCAUUCAUCACUUGUUCUUUUACCUGUUUUAGGGGAGUUAGUGCACGUCUGUGCACAGCGGCGUGCAGCACAGGGAAAAAAACUCCACAUUGGAAAUGAGGGACACUAUCUGGAAUUUGUUAACCUUUUUCCUCGUUGCUAAUUAGUGUGGAAAAGAAAAUUUAAAAACAACAUUUGUUCAGGCGGAAGGCUGAGGUUCAAUUACAGAGAACAACUGGCCGGCUGCAGUCUGCUCACCAGAACACAGCAGAUGUCAUCAGGAUAAAAAAAAACAAAACAAUCACACUCGACUCCUGAAAAGAGUGAAAAAGUGGAUUCAUUCUGACCUCAUUGUGUUUCUAUAAACUCUUUUAUAAUAUGACACUGAUGAAAACUGAUGAAAAGCUGCAACCAAACACCAACUGUUGUGUCAAAACACGCUUUGAUUCGACUCACAAAUACAAUUGUUGUUCCUUUCAAAGCAGAAUAGAAUGAACAGUAACAUUUGCAAACUCUGCUAACGCUCUCCGAGAGCUUUUUAAGAUGUGAAGUGAAGCAGAGAUACACGACUGGGAUUGGAUUUGCCAUCCUUCACGCCUGGUUUGGGCCGGCCUAAUUUAUCCUCUCAAGUGACAACACUAUCAGUCACUGGUUGGAGCUAAUGGGUGUCAUUUGUUAGGCUGUGGGAAGUCAGGAAAAAGCUUGAAAAAUAAACACAAACAAGAAACAAAUGAAAAAUGUUGCCAAUGUGUCAGGAGGAGCAUACAACGUCCUGCAUGUGGGCAAAUCAUCACAGACUGAUGGGGAGAGACCUGCGACCUGUGGAACGCCACACAAAGCUGCAACUUUAGGAUCUGACGCCGCUCGGGGACAGACAGUUGUCAGCGCCCGGCCCGGCCCAUUCCAUCACCGGCGUCCUCAAAGGGCUCCGGCCCCUUAAAAAAGCAAAGAGGAGAAAAGUAGUUAAAGGACAGAGCGUUAAACCUUUGAACCGCUGGCUGGAGCUGAGGGACGCGGAGGCUUUCUCCUGCCGACUGAUGCAUUCGUUCAGGUGCAACCAGAUGGCAACGCUUUCCGUUUGGCCACAUUACGUUCACUCAUCAUCAGCUCGGAUGGAGAAUACGGCUGGAAACCAAAAACAUUCAGGACGGUGACUGCUCAGCUUCCCUCAAGACAAAAGGGUUACAGCGUUGGAGUGAUAAUUCAAGCAAAAUCCAUUCAUUUCAUUCAAGUGUUGCAUCAUCGGCUACAACAGUAGAAUAUUUGGAUUAAAUUUAACAAAGAAAAAAAUGAUUAAAUGACAUCUGCUGGUUUAGAGACAUAAAUGUUUUAAUGAUUUUUAGUAGAAAUUAACAUUUUGAACAACAUGACUUCAUUGAAAAAAAGUCAAAUCCGUCUGUAUUCAGACAGAAGAUCCAUAGAUGUCUUUGACAUGAACCAAGACAUUUAAUCCAGAAAUGUAGAAAAAAAACAAUCAGAGAGAAAUAAACAAGCUAAAACCAAUAAAUAGAAAAAAACACAGAAUAAGUCGUCUUACUCCAUUGUGGCUCUCUGGUUACAGAAAAACAAGGUUUUAACUGGUAAAAAGUAAUUACAAGUAAACCAACUUAAACCUUUUUUUUAACAAACAGUUGAAUGACACAUAUCAUAAGUCGAGGUA
rnacentral:lncRNA from 1 species